GGUUUACUUUGAGAAAACUAGAGUGUUUCAAACAGGCAUUUGCCUUGAAUACUACAGCAUGGAAUAAUGAAGUAGGACUUUGGUUCUAUUUUGUUGGUUAUUGAACCAGAGUAAUGGUUAAUAGGAGCAGUUGGGGGCAUUCGUAUUUAACUGUCAGAGGUGAAAUUC
rnacentral:rRNA from 1 species